AAAAAGUUGGUUACAUUGAUCUAGAAGGUGAGAUAUCAGAUGUCCUUGUUUCCCACUGUAAUAUUAUGUUAUGCUUAUUCUUCAUUAAUUUUAUUAAUAAUUACUUGCCUUACAGGUUUGUCAAUUACAAAAACCAAAGUACUUAAAAGAAUAUCGUGGUAUUACCAUGUUACAUUUGUUGAAUGUUUUGGUACUUUUUGUUGUGAUCCAUGUUAUAUGGAUGCUAGCUAAUUUGUCUUCAAUAUGGAUAUUAUGUUUGCUAGUGUGAAUUAAAAAUAUGGGUUAAAAUUAUCAGGAUGAUAUGGCAAAAAACAGCACAUUAAAAUAAUGACUUAUACUAAGUAAUUUGGCAUGAUCUUCUAUUAUUAAUUCCUAUAUAAAAAUAAAAAAAAAUCACAAAUUAAUGUAAUUCUCAUGUGUUGUGACUAACCAAAAAUGUAAUGACAUUUAUGAAUUAAUUUGCAACAUUCAAAAAAAGUAACCAUAAAAAUAUAUUUUAAAAUCCUUUUGAAAUGAAUGAUUAAGAUGUGUACACUCACAUAUAUUUAAGGUGUAAUUCAAAUAUGUUUUAUAUGUUACUUUUUACACUUUUUAGUUUUUUUUUUUUUCUAAGCCAUAAAGUACUUUACCCCCUUUUUCUUUAUUGUGGACAUUGUGUGCUAUUAUUGACCCAAAUAUCUCUAUAGCAGUGAUUAUGAAAUAAAACAGUUUUUGUUGCAUUUCUGUAUUCCCAUGUUGUGUAAAAAAAAAAAACAAGAAAAAAGAAAAGAAUAGAAAGACUGAAGAAAUAACAACUGAAGACAAAUGAUUUUAUGUAACCCUGAUUUAUUGGUGUUUCCAUGUGGUAUAUGGCUCGAUGAAUACAACAAUUUUGACAUAAGAACAGCUCAUCAGCCCAUCAUCCAAAAUCAGGAAAAGGAAAGAGUAAAAGUUGGGUAAUAACUGAGAUUUGUCUCACAGUUACCCCCUUCUGAGGGCAGUACAAUCUCAAUUGAGUAGAUUUUGUUGCACUAUGAGUAUGCAGCAGAAGCAUUAACAAUGCUGGUUGUAGUGAUGCAGAAUUCUGAGUCAGCUGAAAAAGAAUUCACUUUCUGUUUAAUACUUGCAUGUCAUGACAUAGAGCAACAAAAGCUAUUCGCCCUGAAGAAGUACUUGAGCUCCAUGCUUUGUCUUUCUCUUUAGCUACUUUCUCAUUAUGCAUCCCCUUAAGGACAAUUUGUACUCUGCAUGAGGAGUGAAGCCAAGAGGAAAAAACAAAAAUCAAAGACAACACAGUGAGCGUGAAAAGCCGUUCUGAUAUAACACUUUGACAUGAAAGUCUCUUGGGGUCACCGUGGUUUUUGGGGGUUAAGCACAUCAAAAAGGUAUGAAGCAUUGAAGUGUGUGAAAAAGAUAGGAGUUGCCCAGAUGAUGUUUAGGAGCGGGGAACUGGGUGGACAUGACUGGUUUACAAGCGACGCUUCUGGCUCUGCACCACAGUGCGGGAAAUUGACAUUUGGCCGCCACCGCCGCCAAUGGACAUCCCUGAGCCACCACCAUAUCCAUAGCCGCUGCCACUGCUGAAGCCACUGCCACCACCGAAUCCAGCGCCUCCGCCGUAUCCAGAACCACUACCGUAUCCAGAACCACUACCAUAUCCAGCACCACCACCGUAUCCGGCUCCACCACUGAAUCCGAAUCCGCCGCCUCCGCCGCCACCUGUGAACCAACAAACAAAGACAUUAGUUUAACUGAACACCGGUGCAGGUUUUACAGCAAAUUAUAUGCUUUUUGUCUACGGUCAUGAUAGGAAAAGAUAUCACACUUACCGCUUGUCUCCUGGACGUGGAUGGUUGCAGAGCCACCACCAGAAGAAAUCCUGCCAAAGUUAAAAGAAAAUAAAUGCCAAUAUUAAGACACAUCACAGAAAAAAUUUAAUGAACAGAAAAAUCUACUUUCAAAAUAGCAAAGAGACUGACCUGCUCUCCUCUCCUUCCAGAAGUUUCCUGUAGGUGGCGAUCUCAAUGUCCAAGGCCAGUUUGACAUUCAUGAGCUCCUGGUACUCACGCACCUGGCGUGCCAUAUCUUGCUUUGCUCUUUGCAGGGCCUCUUCCAGUUCCCUAAUGCGGAGCUUGGCAUCCUUCACUGCCAGUUCUCCACGCUCCUCAGCCUCAGCGAUCUGAGCUUCCAGGUUGGCACGCUGAGCAGAAGACAUUACUAAUUCAGUUUCCAGCAACACUUUUACAUUAUUCCUGUGUUAUUUCCAACAAAACAUGCAAAUUUUCAUCAUUGAGAGUACAACUUUUUCUUUUGAAAGUACAUUUAGUACACACUAAAGAUUUGGCUGGAAAUGUAAUUCAGGUUUAAACUUCACCCAAAAGCAUCCAAAGACUAACAAAAUUCUUACUUGUCCCUUGACAGCUUCGAUUUCAUUCUGAAGUCUGCUGAUCAUGCGGUUGAGCUCAGCAAUCUCCUGCUUGGUGUUGCGAAGGUCGUCUCCGUAUUUGCCGGCAGAUGACUGCAUCUCCUCGAACUAGGUGGUGAAAAGAGAGUCAUUGUGAUUAGGAUCUGUCAGUUGAUUGCGUUAAAAUAAUGUUGGUUUGAUGCUUGAAUGUAUUUUCUCACCUUCUGUUUGUACCACGACUCGGCCUCAGCACGGCUGCGGUUGGCGAUGUCCUCAUACUGUGCACGGACCUCAGCAACAAUGGAAUCCAUGUCCAGGCUGCGACUGUUGUCCAUUUCAACAAUAACUGAUGUGUCUUUAAUCUGUGACUGGAGUUCACGCAGCUCCUAAAAUUGCAAGGUGAAUGUUUGAGAUAAACCUAAUAUUGAAAAUUGGCAUCUCAGUGGUAAUAUAGUUUCAUCAAACUCUCACCUCCUCAAAGAUGGCCCUGAGGAAGUUAAUUUCAUCUUGAAGAGAAUCAAGCUUGGCCUCAAGCUCAACCUUGUUCAUGUAGGCGGCAUCAACAUCCUAUGAAGACAUGUAAAGAGCUCAAUAUAGUAUGUGGCCUUUACAGAUGUACAAUGAAAAGAAAUGCAACUAUAACUAGAAAAUCAAGACAGCAGCCAAGUGUUUUACCUUCUUGAGCAGGACAAAUUCGUUUUCCACUGAGGCACGCUUGUUGAUUUCAUCCUCAUAUCUGCAAAGAUAAGUUUUCUGCUUUAGCAUAUUGUGCUAAUUAUACCAUGCACACAAAGUGUAAUUCAUAGAGUAUAAAUCUGCUCUUGCACAGCCACUCACUUGUUCUUGAAGUCCUCUACCAAGUUCUGCAUGUUCUUCAGCUCUCCUUCUAGCUUCAUCUUCUCAUUACCAAGUCCGUCAAGCUGUCUGCGCAGGUUGGCGAUAUAGGCCUCGAACAUGGCGUCGAUGUUGGAGCGGGUGGUGGUCUGGUCCUGCAGUAAACUCCAUUUUGUCUCAAGUACUUUGUUCUGCUGUUCCAGGAAACGCACCUGUAUUGGAGAUAAACCAGUAAAUGAUUUGAAUAAAUGGGUUUAAUAGGAAAGAAGAACAUCAUGGAUCUUUGAUCUGCCAUUACUCAUGCCACAAGAAAUGUCCUUUACAGUAAUUAUGAAGCAGGUCUCUUAUUGCAUAUAAGGAAUUGUGGUGACACACCUUUGGCACCUUUAGUGGAAUUUAGCAGCAUUUGUACCAUGCCUUGUUGGCCUGCACAGCUUGAAUAUUCUUUUUGUGAAGUAACUGUCCUCUUAAUAUGCACACUCCCCUUUGGAGAUAAUGAAAUGCUAACCUCAAGUGACACCACAACAUGUUCAGACUCUCCAUGCUCCAAUUUAUGCUCCCAAAACAAUGUUUCCCUCCUGGCAUAAAGGGCGAGGCUCCUAGGAGACCUGUGCCAAGUGGCAGGCCUUAACAGAGAUGAUAUGACACGCCUUACCCUCAGGUGCUAACUGUUCCCACCCUCCAGCGGACUUAUGCCAUGCAAUUUAUUUCCUGCAAAAUCUCACAAUGACUUUGAACUUGCAGGAUUAACAUAAAAAAGCAAAAACAAAGCAUCAAUGACAUCAGUAGAGUUAUGUGAGCUACAUGAUUGCUGAUCGUAUCUUUUGCCAGAAUCAUACAAAUGGGUGUAGCACCUAGGUAAGGGGGUGGAAUUUACAAGGUGUGGUUACAUUGUGAAUUCCCCAAUGGUGUAAGAGAAUCAAAACAGGAAACUUGUUUUAUUUAGGAUACAUUAAAAUUAUUAUUAGGACCUACAUAAAGUUACCCCUAUGAGACAUUUGGUGCUAUUUUUAUGUCAGGUAUUGCAUUGAGUAAGAGUAAUGCUCAUCUGUUACACACAUACACACACACAUAUCUGCAUUGCUGCCAUAGGGAUAGAUGGCAAACUUGAUCCAUGCCCUUAUUUGGAUUGGCCUAGUCAUUGGAUCUCACCUGGCUUGGGUUUCCAAACUCACCCUCACUGUCUGAGAACAAUUGCAUACAAGAAAAAAAAAACUCAAGCCUGUGCUAAGAUAUACACUUUGACUGUUUGACUGAAAUGUAGUGAUAACAAUGCAAAAUGUGGCAUAUGCAAUGCCGCCCUGUUUCCUAUGAGCUUACCGUUAUACGGAAUCUGACAUUUCCGCGUACAAGUGACUGGCUGUGAAAUAUUUAAUGAGAAGAACCCAGCUCAUGUGAAGGCGCUUCAAAUGUGUGCAUGAAAACCCAACAUUCAGAUGAAAAGUCAAAAUGUCGGAGGUGCAAAAUGUGAUUGUUGUGUUGUACAACUGUGUAUGCUUGAAAAGAGAAGACUAACCUUGUCAAUGAAGGAAGCGAAGCGGUUGUUGAGGUUCUUAAUCUGCUCUUUCUCCUGGGUGCGGACAACUUGGAUGUUGGGGUCGAUUUCUAGGUUCAGAGGUGCCAGGAGGCUCUUGUUGAAAGUGACCGCUUGAAUGGGUGCUACGACACCGGUACCCAUGCCCAUGCCAAGACCAUAGGCUGAAGAGCUGCUUAGGAAGCCACCACCUCCCAUUCCAGCUCCCAUGCCACGGUUGGCACCUCCAUAGGAGCUGCGCACACUGUAGCUCUGCCGGCUGACGCUGGGGCCAGAGUAAGACAUACUGCUGAAGCUGCGUGGAGCAGAUCCAGAGGAAGAGGACUUCACAGUGUAGCUGGUUUUCUUGGUGAACGACAUCCUGCUGAUGUGUUUUCUGUCUUGUGCUGGUAGAGAAUGACCUGGAGCAAGAGGGAGCAGCAGAUUAAGCCUUGUCUGCUGUGCUGGAGAAACUCGAGCAGAUAGAGAACAGCAGACUCUGCCUCCUACUAUAUGUGCUGCUGAGUGGGAGGAGCCAAAAGAAGGCUCUGAUUGGCCGGUGCUUAGGUGUAGUAGGUGGGUGUGGUUGAAAUUCAAUGCUCAUGUCCCUACAUUCCUAGCCUAACCAGUACAUGGAUGUUUUUGUCAUUUAUUAUGACUAGAAACAAAACAAAACAAAAAAAAUAUCUGGGAAUAUUAAUGGUUUAAACAAUAAAAUUGCUUCUGUAUUUCCCAUUUUCUUUGUAUAUAUUAUUUGUUCUGUAAAAGAAUGUGUCACUUUGAUAAAAGCCAAAAUACAGAGUGUGAACACACAAUAAUAUGUCAAUAAUAUUAAACACUAGUACUGAAGUACUCUAAUGCAG
ensembl:lncRNA